rnacentral:rRNA from 1 species
AGUGGCGGACGGGUGAGUAACGCGUGGGUAACCUGCCUUGUACAGGGGGAUAACAGUCAGAAAUGGCUGCUAAUACCGCAUAAGCGCACAGGGCCGCAUGGUCCGGUGUGAAAAACUCCGGUGGUAUAAGAUGGACCCGCGUUGGAUUAGCUAGUUGGUGAGGUAACGGCCCACCAAGGCGACGAUCCAUAGCCGGCCUGAGAGGGUGAACGGCCACAUUGGGACUGAGACACGGCCCAGACUCCUACGGGAGGCAGCAGUGGGGAAUAUUGCACAAUGGGGGAAACCCUGAUGCAGCGACGCCGCGUGGAGGAAGAAGGUCUUCGGAUUGUAAACUCCUGUUGUUGAGGAAGAUAAUGACGGUACUCAACAAGGAAGUGACGGCUAACUACGUGCCAGCAGCCGCGGUAAAACGUAGGUCACAAGCGUUGUCCGGAAUUACUGGGUGUAAAGGGAGCGCAGGCGGGAAGACAAGUUGGAAGUGAAAUCUAUGGGCUCAACCCAUAAACUGCUUUCAAAACUGUUUUUCUUGAGUAGUGCAGAGGUAGGCGGAAUUCCCGGUGUAGCGGUGGAAUGCGUAGAUAUCGGGAGGAACACCAGUGGCGAAGGCGGCCUACUGGGCACCAACUGACGCUGAGGCUCGAAAGUGUGGGUAGCAAACAGGAUUAGAUACCCUGGUAGUCCACACCGUAAACGAUGAUUAAUAGGGUGUGGGAGGGAUUGACCCCUUCAGUGCCGCAGUUAACAACAAUAAGUAAUCCACCUGGGGAGUACGACCGCAAGGUUGAAACUCAAAGGAAUUGACGGGGGCCCGCACAAGCAGUGGAGUAUGUGGUUUAAUUCGACGCAACGCGAAGAACCUUACCAAGUCUUGACAUCCUGCGACGCACAUAGAAAUAUGUGUUUCCUUCGGGACGCAGAGACAGGUGGUGCAUGGUUGUCGUCAGCUCGUGUCGUGAGAUGUUGGGUUAAGUCCCGCAACGAGCGCAACCCUUACUGUCAGUUACUACGCAAGAGGACUCUGGCAGGACUGCCGUUGACAAAACGGAGGAAGGUGGGGAUGACGUCAAAUCAUCAUGCCCUUUAUGACUUGGGCUACACACGUACUACAAUGGCGUUAAACAAAGAGAAGCAAGACCGCGAGGUGGAGCAAAACUCAGAAACAACGUCCCAGUUCGGACUGCAGGCUGCAACUCGCCUGCACGAAGUCGGAAUUGCUAGUAAUCGUGGAUCAGCAUGCCACGGUGAAUACGUUCCCGGGCCUUGCACACACCGCCCGUCA